GUCUACGGCCAUGCCACCCUGAACGUGCCCGAUCUCGUCUGAUCGGAAGCUAAGCAGGACUGGGCCUGGUGAGUACUUGGAUGGGAGACCACCUAGGAAUCCAGGUGCUGUAGGCA
rnacentral:rRNA from 1 species